rnacentral:other from 1 species
CGCUAUCAUCAUUUAAUUUCAUUAUUACCUUCAUUCCCCCGAAUGAUUUGUGUCACCCCAAAUAUUUCCACCGGACUUUAUGGUCCGGUUUUUUUU